rfam:Papio anubis isolate 1X1155 chromosome 8, whole genome shotgun sequence.
GGAGCUGGCCAAAAAGCAGGCAGAGACUUUAAAAGCGUCUCUGCCUGCUUUUUUGGCCAGCUCC